AUAUGUUUGUGAAUGCAGUGACAUAUAGGGAGAUGUCUGAAAGGCUGCGAGAAAUAGGUGUCCAGCGGGGAAACUCUGAGAUCAGUAUCCGGAGACAACUUACCAAACAUACUUUGCAGAGAAAAGAACACUCUUCUGAUUCAGACCUUGAAAUUGCAGUCUCUCGAGCAAUACAUCAGACUGGACUGGAUCAGGCUUCCUGUCAUCAGUUGGAGUACAUGCAGGAGAAUCGUCCGAAUUGGACGUGUUCUGAGAGCAGCCCAUGCCCCAUACCACGAAGAACGGCGUAAAGGUACCCGUAACUUUAACCCAAACCCAUAUACUGCAGAAUACAUGGGACACAAGCUACACAUGGACCAAAAUGAAAAAUUGGUCAUGUUUGGAGUGACUCAUGUAAUUGCUGUGGAUGGAUACAAAAACAAUCUAGCCAUCUAUGAUGCUGUGUACAGGUCAGUAUUGUAUGUUAAGUAUAAAAUGUAAUAUUUUAAUUGUCAUACUUGUUUAUGUAGACCUGCAGUAACACAUUAUGGAAUGUGGGAUCAACUUCGUGUGGAUCAUGGCAAAGAAUUUGACCUCAGUCUGUACAUGCAAGAGAGGCUGUCAGAAAAUAGACACAACCAGCAAAGAGCACCAUACCUCCAAACUCAGUCAACAAGAGUAAUGUUAUUAGUCUGCAAGCCAUCAACCAGCCUUGAAAAGUAAUAUAUUUGGCCAAUUAUUGCUUUUCUGUAAAAGUUUGAGGUUCCUGUACUUGAGUAUAUCCAUGUUCUGCUAUUUUAUACUCCACUGCAGUACGAAGAAUGACAAACUAAUACACGCUGGCCAGUUUACAAGAGUUGUUACAUUUUGGAACUUCCAGUAUAUUUAGCUGAAAAUACUUACUGUACGAUUUUAUGGUUGUGUACUUCAACAUCAUGGUGUUGGUGCUUUGAG